AUGCCAUGAUGAAAUCUAUUUGUGUGCCAGAGACGAGUCUCUUUGGAGCUCGUCUUUGAUGGUAACACAACCCUCUAAGAAGUUCUGAGCUG
rnacentral:snoRNA from 1 species